GUGGCGAACGGGUGAGUAACACGUGAGUAACCUGCCCUUGACUCUGGGAUAACCUCCGGAAACGGAAGCUAAUACCGGAUACGAACUGCGAAGGCAUCUUCAGCAGUUGGAAAGAACUUCGGUCAAGGAUGGACUCGCGGCCUAUCAGGUAGUUGGUGAGGUAACGGCCCACCAAGCCUACGACGGGUAGCCGGCCUGAGAGGGUGACCGGCCACACUGGGACUGAGACACGGCCCAGACUCCUACGGGAGGCAGCAGUGGGGAAUAUUGCACAAUGGGCGCAAGCCUGAUGCAGCAACGCCGCGUGAGGGAUGACGGCCUUCGGGUUGUAAACCUCUUUUAGUAGGGAAGAAGCGAAAGUGACGGUACCUGCAGAAAAAGCACCGGCUAACUACGUGCCAGCAGCCGCGGUAAUACGUAGGGUGCGAGCGUUGUCCGGAAUUAUUGGGCGUAAAGAGCUCGUAGGCGGUCUGUCGCGUCUGCUGUGAAAACCCGAGGCUCAACCUCGGGCCUGCAGUGGGUACGGGCAGACUAGAGUGCGGUAGGGGAGAAUGGAAUUCCUGGUGUAGCGGUGGAAUGCGCAGAUAUCAGGAGGAACACCGAUGGCGAAGGCAGUUCUCUGGGCCGUAACUGACGCUGAGGAGCGAAAGCGUGGGGAGCGAACAGGAUUAGAUACCCUGGUAGUCCACGCCGUAAACGUUGGGCGCUAGAUGUGGGGACCAUUCCACGGUUUCCGUGUCGCAGCUAACGCA
rnacentral:rRNA from 1 species